UACGGAGGGUGCAAGCGUUAAUCGGAAUUACUGGGCGUAAAGGGUGCGUAGGCGGUUGUUUAAGUCUGUUGUGAAAUCCCCGGGCUCAACCUGGGAAUGGCAAUGGAUACUGGGCAGCUAGAGUGUGUCAGAGGAUGGUGGAAUUCCCGGUGUAGCGGUGAAGUGCGUAGAGAUCGGGAGGAACAUCAGUGGCGAAGGCGGCCAUCUGGGACAACACUGACGCUGAAGCACGAAAGCGUGGGGAGCAAACAGG
rnacentral:rRNA from 1 species